AUGUUGGCUUGUCUUUCAAAUCAUGAAGUGAUUUCAAGCAACUUGACUUUUCUUGAAUUUGAAUCUCAACUUUUACUUCAAUUUAGAAUUCCCAUCUUCUGUCAUCUCGCAAUCAGGGAUCAAUGGCAUAAGAAAAGUAUGAUUUUGGCCAUAACUUGUUCUCUAAUUGUAAAAAAGUGGAAAUGCCCUUUUCACCUUGUGAAGUACGUGUAA